CCGCCUCCCGCCUCCCGCUUAUAUUGGGCAGGGGCAGAGGCGGCUCUUCCCUUUUCCCCGCCGGGACCUGAGAGCCGGAGCAAAGUUCAGGAGUGCCAGUGCUACACAGACUGUGGUUAAUGAAGGUCGCUAGAGCUGGAAUGAGAGAAAUCAUGAUUUUCCUCGGAAUGCUACAUCCCGUAACACACUCUUUCAGUGAUGUGGUCCUCUGAUGGAUGUCUGGAUCAUGGGUGGUACUCAAUUGGUAACUUGUAUCUGGCUGACAUGACAAAACAGUAAAGCUGUGGAACAAUCUGGGCUGUGUAAAUGCACCAGAUUGACGAUGGAUGUCUUGACUAGGUCUGGGUGAAUCUUGUUCGUACAGAGUUUUCUGUGGUUACGACAUGCUGUAAAGCAUGUUUUUGUCUACCUACUAAUGGCUUGGUUCAGGAGUUUGCAAAUUGAAGAUCAACCAUGUUGGCAUACACUCCAGGUGGAAAGGGUGGCCAACUCUGGGUGGUAUCUGAAUGAAGGAAAACACUCCAGAUGCGGGGGCUUUUUGUGUGAUUGUACUGCUAGUGGUCCCAGCAUCAAGAUUUAGGAAGGUUUGGAGGACAAGCUGUAUGACUACACGAAGUUAUCAUCAUGAACAGUAUAUGGAGAGCUGCUGCAGUGCUAACCUUGUUUGUUGAUGAUCAGGUUACACUGAGCCAUUCAGCCCAUCGUGUCUACUCUGCCCUUCUAAGACUGGCUGAUUUGAUAAUCUUCAAUAACUGCAGAUUGCAACUAGAUGAAAGUUUUUUUUUGGGUGAAGAAUGGGAAUCAAUUGAAUGUUAUUUUUCUGAAACUUGGAAAAGAAAUAAACUAAGCAAAAGUA